rnacentral:misc_RNA from 1 species
AAGUCGUAACAAGGUCAUCCGUUGGUGGAACCAGCGGAGGGACAUCGAUUGCUGGAAGCGGCGCCCCAGGCGCACCCAGAAACCCUUUGUGAACUUAUACCUUACUGUUGCCUCGGCGCUAGCUGGUCCUUCGGGGCCCCUCACCCUCGGGUGUUUGAGACAGCCCGCCGGCGGCCAACCCAACUCUUGUUUUUACACUGAAACUCUGAGAAUAAAACAUAAAUGAAUCAAGA